rnacentral:rRNA from 1 species
UAGGGAAUCUUCCGCAAUGGGCGAAAGCCUGACGGAGCAACGCCGCGUGAGUGAUGAAGGUCUUCGGAUCGUAAAACUCUGUUAUUAGGGAAGAACAAAUGUGUAAGUAACUAUGCACGUCUUGACGGUACCUAAUCAGAAAGCCACGGCUAACUACGUGCCAGCAGCCGCGGUAAUACGUAGGUGGCAAGCGUUAUCCGGAAUUAUUGGGCGUAAAGCGCGCGUAGGCGGUUUUUUAAGUCUGAUGUGAAAGCCCACGGCUCAACCGUGGAGGGUCAUUGGAGACUGGAAAACUUGAGUGCAGAAGAGGAAAGUGGAAUUCCAUAUGUAGCGGUGAAAUGCGCAGAGAUAUGGAGGAACACCAGUGGCGAAGGCGACUUUCUGGUCUGUAACUGACGCUGAUGUGCGAAAGCGUGGGGAUCAAACAGG